rnacentral:rRNA from 1 species
AUGAAAAUCAUUAGUUGGAACUGCCGGGGGCUCGAGAACGGCCCGGCAGUUCGAUCUCUCCUUGAGUUGGGAAGAGUGGAGGAUCCCGAUGUGUUAUUCCUGGCGGAGACUCGGCUCACAGAGAAGGAGUUUGACAGAUUCUGGUGGAAGUUAGGGCUCGCUAACAUGCCUGCCUGGAAUCCAGUGGGUAGAAGUCGAGGAGUUGCAAUGUUCUGGCGGCGAGGUCUUGAUGUGUCACUACGUUCGUAUGGGAGGUGGCAUGUAGAUGUGGACGUAAGGGAGGAAGAUGGCUCGGUUUGGCGCCUAACAGGUGUAUAUAGGGAGUCUGCUGUUGGGUAA